rnacentral:rRNA from 1 species
UACCCGCAGCACAAGUGGUGGUCAUUAUUAUUGGGCCUAAAGCGUCCGUAGCUGGCCUGUUAGGUGCCUGGGUAAAUCGAUGCGCUCAACGCAUCGAACUCCGGGUAGACCGGCAGGCUUGGGACCGGGAGAGAUGUGAGCUACUCGAGGGGUAGGGGUAAAAUCCUGUAAUCCUUCGGGGAGGACCAGUGGCGAAGGCGUCACAUUAGAACGGCUCCGACAGUGAGGGACGAAGCCCUGGGGCGCAAACCGG